GCCAAAAUAGCUCAGUUGGGAGAGCAUUUGACUGAAGAUCUAAAGGUAUCUGGUUCAAUUCUGGAUUUUGGCA